AACGAACGCUGGCGGCGUGCCUAACACAUGCAAGUCGAACGAGAAAGGGGCUUCGGCUCCGAGUAAAGUGGCGCACGGGUGAGUAACACGUGGGUAACCUGCCUCUAAGAUUGGGAUAACUCGUCGAAAGAUGAGCUAAUACCGAAUAAGACCACAGUUCCCGCGGGAACAGGGGUCAAAGGUAGCCUCUGCUUGCAAGCUAUCACUUAGAGAUGGGCCUGCGCACCAUUAGCCAGUUGGUAGGGUAACGGCCUACCAAGGCAAAGAUGGUUAGCUGGUCAGAGAGGAUGAUCGGCCACACUGGAAUGGGGAGGCGGUCCAGCAUCCUGCGAGAGGCAGCAGUGGGGAAUAUUGCGCAAUGGGCGAAAGCGUGACGCAGCAACGCCGCGUGAGUGAUGAAGGCCUUCGGGUCGUAAAGCUCUAUCAGUAGGAACGAAUGCUCCUGAGGUUAACAGCCUCGGGAGGUGACGGUACCUUCAAAGGAAGCACCGGCUAACUCUGUG
rnacentral:rRNA from 1 species